UAUGACGCUUAGCAGUAAGAUUCUGUUCACAGGACAAUCGCCUCUGUUUCAAUAAUGACUUCUUCCAGGUUGUAUUGGACUGCCUGAGUGAAGUUCUAAGAAUCUUGGGAAAGAUCCUAGUUGUUGAGCUUAGAAUUUGGAUUUCUAAGCACUACGUACAUCCAUCCUGUCAUUACGCAGAGACUUACAAAGUAUUUACGACUAGAAACUAUGGGUGUCUGUUUGGAGCUGGAAGCAGAGAGAUGGGAGCAAGAGGUAGAACCAAAUUGCCGUACAGCCAAUUAGUUAUGUGGUGAAAACGUUUGCGGCGAAAUGCUUUGGGACAGUGAUGUCUAUGGUGGAGAUGGUCACAGGAGAAACACCAGACAUGAUCUUCAUCAUUCACACACUCUGGAAUCCUCACCACUACUCCGGAUAUGUUCUUUCCAAGGCUAUAAGACUCAGUCCACACUGCCAAAUCGAAUAGUUAUUUUUUGGCCCUCAUCCUGCUCCACCUUUCAGCAUCCCGCCCUGCUUUCCACACGCUUGUUCGUGACAUUUUCUGUAGUGUCUCCAGCCUCUCAUUCUCCAGUUCCUUUUCCUUUAGUGCCUCAAUGAUUUAAUGCCUCAGGGCUCGGCCUGGCAUCUCCUUUCCCAACCCUCUGUUCAUUCCUAUGACCUUAAAUAUACAUUAAAAAUGCACAAAUAUAUAUCCCAGUCCAACCUUCUCUUUUGAGAUCCUGACUUCUAUAUUCAGUCUGACUUACCCACUUAGAUAUGUCACAAGCACUUUGAAUUUGCCGUGUCCAGAAAAGAACCAUUGGUGUUAACUUCCAAGAGCCUACCCUGUCUCAAGUCUUCCCAUAUUAGAAAAUGGCACCAGAGCACUUGCCCAAGCUAGAAGUUUGGGAGCCGUGCUUGACCCCUCCUCAGACCUCCACAUCCCAACUACCACCAAAUUCUGUGCAUAUACCUUAUCUCUGUCUUUGCUACCAAAUGCCUUGGCCAAGUUUUCAUCUGCUCUCAGCUGGAUCCCUGCAAGAGCCACACAACUGAUGACCCAUGUCUCCUGGAUAGCUGCAGGGACUAUGGUGUUUCUACAGCCUCAUCUUGUGUCCCUGUCACCCCCCUCAUUGAGCUCUGACCACACUACCUUCAGCCAGAAUGUCUCCUCCUCUUAUUACUCCCUUCUCCUCACAUCUUUCUUCCUGGCCAAUUCUUUCUUACAGGUCAUGUCUCAGCUGAAAUGUCGCUUCCUCCCUGAGGUUUCCUCUAACCGAGAUUCUGAAUGUCCACCUCCUGUCAUUAUUCACUGGUAUAUCACAAUUUGCAGCUGUAUAUUUAUUUAUAUUUAUUUCCUAUUACUUCCUCUGUAAGAAUAAAAACUCCAUGAGAUCAA